GUAUAGGUUUAAUGACUGCAAGCAGCCUUUAAAAGACAUUCUGUAACUUUAUAGUGUAUGUUAAAACAUAGCCUUUUGAAACACAGGGGCGCGAGCAGGUUACGCAGACGCUGCGAAGAAGCAAGCAGGGGAAGAGCGGGUAAGGCCCAGUCCCCCAGACCGCAUUGCUGCGAGGGUUCACUUCUAUUUUCAAAAGACUACAAAAGGUGCACAAGAGAAGAUAAAUAGUUGGCUCGAGCACAUGCCCAGUGAAGGGCCAGCAUCAGAGACCAGCGUAUUCAAUAAUGAUCCUUCCGCAGGUUCACCUACGGAAA
rnacentral:misc_RNA from 1 species